rnacentral:tRNA from 1 species
AGCGGGGUAGAGUAACAGUAAUUCGUGAGGCUCAUAACCUUAAGAUCCAGGUGCGAAUCCUGGCCCCGCAA